CUGGGUGGGGCAAUAAAGGGUCUGUUUACAAUAUUAAAUUCCUUUGAGACUUGAGGUGGGCUAUUUUGGACUCUUCACCACUGAUGAAUUUUUCCGUCUGCUGCUUUAUCUACCUGACAGGAAAGCUUGAACUACUGCCAUUUCUAAAUUGCACUUCUAAAUAUUGACUUCAUGGCGAGACUCAAAGUGUCAUAACACAGCUCACUGGAGGAAUGAAGAUUUUCCAGGCCUCAUCCAGAGGUCUGUACAAUGUCCUGUGGGAAGUGGAGAAGGAAGAGGAGGAUUUGAGAAGAAAAACAAAAUCAAGUCAUGUUUAGAAGAAACGCCAUUGCACUUCACUUAAUCUCGCAGAGACAAAUGAACACUCAUGGGGCUAUUAGCUGUGGAGGGGCUGGAGAGGACCAAGGUGGAGGGAGAAAGGAUGGAAGUGACCAUUAAUCCCUCAGCGGUCGGCCGGGAAGAAUGGAGGGUGCGAGAAAGAGCCCUUCAGAAACACCUAGCUCUCAGAGAGCCUUUAUUUGGGUUUCCGGCUUAGAAGGACUGGACAGUGUCUGAAAAACAAGAGACUUUACAUCCAAUUUCUGUCAAGGCUUCGACAUGGCUAUAUCUUUAGCUAAUCUUCAUUUGGGUUGCUGAGAAAAUUCUAGGAGCCUUUCUUUUUAGCUUCUUUCCUCCUAAUAGUUAACACUAUAAACUGAUCUUAAGGCAUAUUUGUCACAUCAUAUUAGCUGUUGAACCAUGAAUCAAAGGAAGUGAUUGGCCCUUUCUUGCCCUUAAGGAGCUGUUUUGAAGGAGCAACACGAUGUUUUACGUGCAAGUUAGCUUUGAGAUUUUUUUUUUUUUUUUUUUGGAUAUUCAGGGAUAUAUAACUUCAAGUUGUUUAUUAGCAUGAAGGGGCCAGAUUCCCCAGGAUGAGAAUAAUGCUCUUCAAGGCUGCAGAGAGAGGUCCUGUCUCCCUUCAGGACAUGUCCCCAUCUUCGUGUGCAUUGCCAGACACGGCUAUCUGAAAGGCCACCGUGUGGAGGGGCUGGGGAGAGAUUAUGCGGGAUGUGCUCUUCAGAGCAUAUGAAAAGCUCAAGUUCCAAGACAUAAGAAGUUAAAUUAACCAGGUACCAUGGAAGAUGGCCCUUCCGGCAGUGGCGCGACAUGUAUCUUGAUUGCCCUUAGAUUGUGGAAGGUGGCCCUUAAGGCUGCAUGCCCAGUCUGUUCCCUCUCCUAGGCCUAUGCAUGUGAGCCCUUUUAUUUGUUGAUAAUUAUUUCCAAGAAUGACCUCAAAGUGCAUCUUCUGGUUUGAGACCUCAUCACAUUGGACUGAUCCGUGAGCUUGGAUCCUCUAGCAACUCUGAUUGGCUUGGCUGAGGCACUGACUUCUUUCCUUCAUCUCAUGUCCAACUCUGAGAAAAGCUGGGUCUCCAUUUAAGGCCUCCCCUGAUAUCUUCUUCCAUGACGGCAAUCAGCAGUGUAACACCAUUAAGAAUUUGGG